rnacentral:rRNA from 1 species
AGGAUUAACGCUGGCGGCGUGCAUGAAACAUGCAAGUCGAGCGCGGUGUGAUGAGGGGUAACCCAAUUCACAUCUAGCGGCGAACGGGUGAGUAACACGUGAGCAACCUACCUUUGAGUUGGGGAUAGCCCUGGGAAACCAGGAUUAAUACCCGAUGUGGUCACAACAGGACAUCCUGAUGUGAGUAAAGGCGUAAGCCGCUCAAUGACGGGCUCGCGGCCUAUUAGCUUGUUGGUGGGGUAACGGCCUACCAAGGCGAUGAUGGGUAGCUGGUCUGAGAGGACGAUCAGCCACACUGGGACUGAGACACGGCCCAGACUCCUACGGGAGGCAGCAGUUAGGAAUUUUCCGCAAUGGGCGAAAGCCUGACGGAGCAACGCCGCGUGAGUGAUGAAGACCUUCGGGUUGUAAAGCUCUGUCGGAGGGAAGAACACAAUGACGGUACCCUCCAAGAAAGCCCCGGCUAACUACGUGCCAGCAGCCGCGGUAA